GUCUGUUAGAUUUAAUUAACAGUCUGGCCUGCCCAUUGAUCUUUUUUAAAGGCCGCGGUAUAAAUAACCGUGCGAAGGUAGCAUAAUAAUUAGUUUUUUAAUUGAAGACUGGAAUGAAUGGUCGGACAAAAAGCAACCUGUUUCAGGUUUAAAAAUUGAAAUUAACAUUUAAGUGAAAAGGCUUAAAUAAUCUUAAAAGACGACAAGACCCUAUAAAACUUAAUAUAUAAGAGUUACAACCUUUGAUUUGUAAGUUUAAUAAGGUUCUUUCAUCUUAUGUAUUGCGUUGGGGCGACGAAAGUAAUAAAACAACUGCUUUUUUUUUACAUACAAUUAUUUUUGAAAUUAUUGACCCUUUUUAUAAGAUUCAAAGAAAAAGUUACUUUAGGGAUAACAGCGUUAUUUUUUUUGAGAGUCCCUAUCGACAAAAAAGUUUGCGACCUCGAUGUUGAAUUAAAGUCCCAUCAUAGUGCAGCAAUUAUGAAAGGAGGUCUGUUCGACCUUUAAAUCUUUACAUGAUUUGAGUUCAAACCGGUGUAAG
rnacentral:rRNA from 1 species